rnacentral:rRNA from 1 species
GGUUAAGUGACUAAGCGUACACGGUGGAUGCCUUGGCAGUCAGAGGCGAUGAAAGACGUAGUAACUUGCGAUAAGCCCAGAUUAGGUAGUAACAACCAUUUGAGUCUGGGAUUUCUGAAUGGGGAAACCCACGUGCAUAAGCACGUAUCCUUACCUGAAUACAUAGGGUAAGGAGGCGAACCGGGGGAACUGAAACAUCUAAGUACCCCGAGGAAAAGAAAUCAACCGAGAUUCCGAAAGUAGCGGCGAGCGAAAUUGGACUAGCCCUUAAGCUUUACACGCGUUAGACGAACGGUCUGGAAAGUCCGACGAUACAGGGUGAUAGUCCCGUAGUUGACGACGUGUGUUCAGUGAAAUCGAGUAGGGCGGGACACGUGAUAUCCUGUCUGAAUAUGGGGGGACCAUCCUCCAAGGCUAAAUACUACUGACUGACCGAUAGUGAACCAGUACCGUGAGGGAAAGGCGAAAAGAACCCCUGUGAGGGGAGUGAAAUAGAACCUGAAACCGUGUACGUACAAGCAGUAGGAGCAGGCUUUGUCCUGUGACUGCGUACCUUUUGUAUAAUGGGUCAGCGACUUAUAUUCAGUGGCAAGGUUAACCAUCUAGGGGAGCCGUAGGGAAACCGAGUCUUAACUGGGCGUUCAGUCUCUGGAUAUAGACCCGAAACCAGGUGAUCUAGCCAUGGGCAGGUUGAAGGUUGAGUAACAUCAACUGGAGGACCGAACCGACUAAUGUUGAAAAAUUAGCGGAUGACUUGUGGCUAGGGGUGAAAGGCCAAUCAAACCUGGAGAUAGCUGGUUCUCCCCGAAAGCUAUUUAGGUAGCGCCUCGGACGAAUACUACUGGGGGUAGAGCACUGUUAAGGCUAGGGGGUCAUCCCGACUUACCAACCCUUUGCAAACUCCGAAUACCAGUAAGUACUAUCCGGGAGACACACGGCGGGUGCUAACGUCCGUCGUGGAGAGGGAAACAACCCAGACCGCCAGCUAAGGUCCCAAAUUACUACUAAGUGGGAAACGAUGUGGGAAGGCUCAGACAGCCAGGAUGUUGGCUUAGAAGCAGCCAUCAUUUAAAGAAAGCGUAAUAGCUCACUGGUCGAGUCGGCCUGCGCGGAAGAUGUAACGGGGCUAAGUAGUAAACCGAAGCUGCGGCAAUACUCUUUGAGUAUUGGGUAGGGGAGCGUUCUGUAAGCGGUUGAAGGUGUGUGGUAACGCAUGCUGGACGUAUCAGAAGUGCGAAUGCUGACAUGAGUAACGAUAAAGGGGGUGAAAAACCUCCUCGCCGGAAGACCAAGGGUUCCUGUCCAACGUUAAUCGGGGCAGGGUAAGUCGACCCCUAAGGCGAGGCCGAAAGGCGUAGUCGAUGGGAAACGGGUUAAUAUUCCCGUACUUCUUACAAUUGCGAUGGGGGGACGGAGAAGGCUAGGUGGGCCUGGCGACGGUUGUCCAGGUUCAAGUGCGUAGGCUUGAGAGUUAGGUAAAUCCGGCUCUCUCUAAGGCUGAGACACGACGUCGAGCACCUACGGGUGUGAAGUCAUUGAUGCCAUGCUUCCAGGAAAAGCCUCUAAGCUUCAGAUUGUAAGGAAUCGUACCCCAAACCGACACAGGUGGUCGGGUAGAGAAUACCAAGGCGCUUGAGAGAACUCGGGUGAAGGAACUAGGCAAAAUGGUACCGUAACUUCGGGAGAAGGUACGCUCUUGAUGGUGAAGUCCCUUGCGGAUGGAGCUGACGAGAGUCGCAGAUACCAGGUGGCUGCAACUGUUUAUUAAAAACACAGCACUGUGCAAAAUCGUAAGAUGACGUAUACGGUGUGACGCCUGCCCGGUGCCGGAAGGUUAAUUGAUGGGGUUAGACUUCGGUCGAAGCUCUUGAUCGAAGCCCCGGUAAACGGCGGCCGUAACUAUAACGGUCCUAAGGUAGCGAAAUUCCUUGUCGGGUAAGUUCCGACCUGCACGAAUGGCGUAAUGAUGGCCACGCUGUCUCCACCCGAGACUCAGUGAAAUUGAAAUCGCUGUGAAGAUGCAGUGUACCCGCGGCUAGACGGAAAGACCCCGUGAACCUUUACUACAGCUUGGCACUGAACAUUGACCCUACAUGUGUAGGAUAGGUGGGAGGCUUUGAAGCACGUACGCCAGUAUGUGUGGAGCUGUCCUUGAAAUACCACCCUUGUAGUGUUGAUGUUCUAACGUCGACCCCUUAUCGGGGUUGCGGACAGUGCCUGGUGGGUAGUUUGACUGGGGCGGUCUCCUCCCAAAGAGUAACGGAGGAGCACGAAGGUGGGCUAAUCACGGUUGGACAUCGUGAGGUUAGUGCAAUGGCAUAAGCCCGCUUGACUGCGAGAAUGACAAUUCGAGCAGGUGCGAAAGCAGGUCAUAGUGAUCCGGUGGUUCUGAAUGGAAGGGCCAUCGCUCAACGGAUAAAAGGUACUCCGGGGAUAACAGGCUGAUACCGCCCAAGAGUUCAUAUCGACGGCGGUGUUUGGCACCUCGAUGUCGGCUCAUCACAUCCUGGGGCUGAAGUCGGUCCCAAGGGUAUGGCUGUUCGCCAUUUAAAGUGGUACGCGAGCUGGGUUUAGAACGUCGUGAGACAGUUCGGUCCCUAUCUGCCGUGGGCGUUGGAAGAUUGAAGGGGGCUGCUCCUAGUACGAGAGGACCGGAGUGGACGAACCUCUGGUGUUCGGGUUGUGUCGCCAGACGCAUUGCCCGGUAGCUAAGUUCGGAAUCGAUAACCGCUGAAAGCAUCUAAGCGGGAAGCGAGCCCUGAGAUGAGUCUUCCCUGAUACUUUAAGUAUCCUAAAGGGUUGUCGGAGACUACGACGUUGAUAGGUCAGGUGUGUAAGUGCUGUGAGGCAUUGAGCUAACUGAUACUAAUUGCCCGUGAGGCUUAACCAU